UACGAAGGGGGCUAGCGUUGCUCGGAAUCACUGGGCGUAAAGCACACGUAGGUGGCUUGUUAAGUCAGGGGUGAAAUCCUGGAGCUCAACUCCAGAACUGCCUUUGAUACUGGCGAGCUUGAGUCCGGGAGAGGUGAGUGGAACUGCGAGUGUAGAGGUGAAAUUCGUAGAUAUUCGCAAGAACACCAGUGGCGAAGGCGGCUCACUGGCCCGGUACUGACGCUGAGGUGCGAAAGCGUGGGGAGCAAACAGG
rnacentral:rRNA from 1 species